rnacentral:rRNA from 1 species
UGCGUAGGUGGUUCGUUAAGUCUGCCGUGAAAGCCCCGGGCUCAACCUGGGAAUGGCGGUGGAUACUGGCGGACUAGAGUGCGGUAGAGGGUGGUGGAAUUCCCGGUGUAGCAGUGAAAUGCGUAGAGAUCGGGAGGAACAUCUGUGGCGAAGGCGGCCACCUGGACCAGCACUGACACUGAGGCACGAAAGCGUGGGGAGCAAACA